rnacentral:rRNA from 1 species
CCUCGGGGCGCAGCAGUGAGGAAUAUUGCACAAUGGGGGAAACCCUGAUGCAGCAACGCCGCGUGGAGGAUGACGCAUUUCGGUGUGUAAACUCCUUUUAUCAGAGAAGAAAAUGACGGUAUCUGAUGAAUAAGCUCCGGCUAACUCCGUGCCAGCAGCCGCGGUAAUACGGAGGGAGCAAGCGUUAUUCGGAAUCACUGGGCGUAAAGGACGCGUAGGCGGGUUUUUAAGUCAGGUGUGAAAUCCUAUGGCUCAACCAUAGAGCUGCACUUGAAACUGGGGACCUAGAGUAUGGAAGGGGCAGGUGGAAUUAGUGGUGUAGGGGUAAAAUCCGUAGAUAUCACUAGGAAUACCGAAAGCGAAGGCGACCUGCUGGGACAUUACUGACGCUGAGGCGUGAAAGCGUGGGGAGCAAACAGGAUUAGAUACCCCAGUAGUC